rnacentral:rRNA from 1 species
AGUGAACGCUGGCGGCGUGCUUUACACAUGCAAGUCGAACGGACCAACUUAGCUUGCUUUAUUGGUUAGUGGCGCACGGGUGAGUAAUAUAUAGCUAACCUGCCCUUUAGUGGGGGACAACAGUUGGAAACGACUGCUAAUACCCCAUACUCCUUUUCACCAAAUGGUGGAUCGGGAAAGAUUUAUCGCUAAAGGAUGGGGCUUUACGGUAUCAGAUAGUUGGUGGGGUAAUGGCCUACCAAGUCUAUGACAUCUAGCUGGUCUGAGAGGAUGAUCAGCCACACUGGAACUGGUACACGGUCCAGACUCCUACGGGAGGCAGCAGUGAGGAAUUUUGCGCAAUGGGGGCAACCCUGACGCAGCAACGCCGCGUGAGUGAAGAAGGCCUUUGGGUCGUAAAGCUCUGUCGACAGGGAAGAAAUUAUAAUGAUCCAAUAGGUGAUUAUAUUGACGGUACC